AACGAACGCUGGCGGCAGGCCUAACACAUGCAAGUCGAGCGAGGACUUCGGUUCUAGCGGCGGACGGGUGAGUAACGCGUGGGAAUGUGCCCUUCUCUACGGAAUAGCCCUGGGAAACUGGGAGUAAUACCGUAUACGCCCUAUUGGGGAAAGAUUUAUCGGAGAAGGAUCAGCCCACGUUGGAUUAGGUAGUUGGUGGGGUAAUGGCCUACCAAGCCGACGAUCCAUAGCUGGUUUGAUAGGAUGAUCAGCCACACUGGGACUGAGACACGGCCCAGACUCCUACGGGAGGCAGCAGUGGGGAAUCUUAGACAAUGGGGGCAAACCUGAUCUAGCCAUGCCGCGUGAGUGAUGAAGGCCUUAGGGUUGUAAAGCUCUUUCAGCUGGGAAGAUAAUGACGGUACCAGCAGAAGAAGCCCCGGCUAACUCCGUG
rnacentral:rRNA from 1 species